GAUGAACGCUGGCGGCGUGCUUAACACAUGCAAGUCGAACGAGAAGUGAAGACGGAAACCUUCGGGCGGAAGGCUUUAUUUCGAGUGGCGGACGGGUGAGUAACGCGUGGGUAGCCUGCCUCAUACAGGGGGAUAACAGUUGGAAACGACUGUUAAUACCGCAUAAGACCACAGCACCGCAUGGUGCGGGGGUAAAAACUCCGGUGGUAUGAGAUGGACCCGCGUUCGAUUAGCCAGUUGGCGGGGUAACGGCCCACCAAAGCGACGAUCGAUAGCCGAUCUGAGAGGAUGACCGGCCACAUUGGGACUGAGACACGGCCCAAACUCCUACGGGAGGCAGCAGUGGGGAAUAUUGCACAAUGGGGGAAACCCUGAUGCAGCGACGCCGCGUGAGUGAAGAAGUAUUUCGGUAUGUAAAGCUCUAUCAGCAGGGAAGAAAAUGACGGUACCUGAGUAAGAAGCCCCGGCUAACUACGUG
rnacentral:rRNA from 1 species